UGUAAGGGUUUUUAUUGUCAUGGAAAACAUAUGUUUACAUUGCCAAAGCAAGUGAAAUAAAUCAUAUACAAAAGUGAAAUAAACAAUAAAAAAUGAACAGUAAACAUUACACUCACAAGUUCCAAAGGAAUAAAGACAUUUCAGAUGUCUUUAUACAGAGUUGUAAUGAUGUGCAAAUAGUACAAAAACUGGUUGACCUUUUCUUGUGGCAACAGGUCACAAAUCUUGCUGCUGUGAUGUCACACUGUGGUAUUUCACCCAAUCGAUCACUUCCUUUUAGGUGGUUGUAGAUUUUAGUGGGUAUCGGCCUAAUUCUGCUCUGCGUGCAUUAUGUGGUGUUUUACGUUGUACACUGAGGAUAUUUUUGCAGAAUCUCAAAUUGUUUUUUUUUUGUCCCAUUUUGUGAAUUCUUGGUUGGUGAGCGGACCCCAGACUUCACAACCUUAAAGGGCAAUGGACUCUAUGACUGAUUCAAGUGUUUUUAACCAGAUCAUAAUUGGUAUGUCAAAUUUUAUGUUCCUUUUGAUGGUGUAGAAGACAUUUAGAAGACCCUUCUUGCCUUGUCUCUCAGCUCGUUCACAGCUUUGUGGAAGUUACCUGUGAUGCUGAUGUUUAGGCCGAGGUUUGUAUAGUUAUUUUUGUGUUCUCGGGAAAUGGUGUCUAGAUGGAAUUUGUAUUUGUCGUCCUGGUGACUGGACCUUUUUUGGAACACCAUUAUUUUGGUCUUACUGAGAUUUACUGUCAGGGCCCAGGUCUGACAGAAUCUGUGCAGAAGAUCUAGGUGCUGCUGUAGGCUUUCCUUGGUUGGUGACAGAUCUAGGUGCUGCUGUAGGCCCUCCUUGGUUGGUGACAGAUCUAGGUGCUGCUGUAGGCUUUCCUUGGUUGGUGACAGAUCUAGGUGCUGCUGUAGGCCCUCCUUGGUUGGUGACAGAUCUAGGUGCUGCUGUAGGCUUUCCUUGGUUGGGGACAGAUCUAGGUGCUGCUGUAGGCCCUCCUUGGUUGGUGACAGAUCUAGGUGCUGCUGUAGGCCCUCCUUGGUUGGUGACAGAUCUAGGUGCUGCUGUAGGCUUUCCUUGGUUGGGGACAGAUCUAGGUGCUGCUGUAGGCCCUCCUUGGUUGGGGACAGAUCUAGGUGCUGCUGUAGGCCCUCCUUGGUUGGGGACAGAUCUAGGUGCUGCUGU